GGACGGUAACAGGAGAGAAGCUUGCUUUUCUUGCUGACGAGUGGCGGACGGGUGAGUAACGCGUGGGAAUCUACCCUUUAGUUGGGGACAACAUAUGGAAACGUAUGCUAAUACCGAAUAUGCUCUACGGAGUAAAGGUGCCCUCUCCUUGGAAGGUAUCGCUAAAGGAUGAGCCCGCGUUAGAUUAGCUAGUUGGUAGGGUAAAGGCCUACCAGGGCGACGAUCUAUAGCUGGUUUGAGAGGAUGAUCAGCCACACUGGGACUGAGACACGGCCCAGACUCCUACGGGAGGCAGCAGUGGGGAAUAUUGCACAAUGAGGGAAACCUUGAUGCAGCCAUGCCGCGUGUGUGAAGAAGGCCCGAGGGUUGUAAAGCACUUUCAAUUGUGAGGAAGAUUAAGUAGCUAAUACCUGCUUAGUUUGACGUUAACUUUAGAAGAAGCACCGGCUAACUCUGUGCCAGCAGCCGCGGUAAUACAGAGGGUGCAAGCGUUAUUCGGAAUUACUGGGCGUAAAGCGCGCGUAGGCGGACUGUUAAGUCGGUUGUGAAAGCCCUGGGCUCAACCUAGGAACUGCAUCCGAUACUGGCAAUCUAGAGUUUAAGAGAGGGAAGUGGAAUUCCAGGUGUAGCAGUGAAAUGCGUAGAUAUCUGGAGGAACAUCAGUGGCGAAGGCGACUUCCUGGCUUAAAACUGACGCUGAGGUGCGAAAGCUUGGGUAGCGAACGGGAUUAGAUACCCCGGUAGUCCAAGCCGUAAACGAUGUCAACUAGCUGUUGGUCUUAUUAAAAAGAUUAGUAGCGCAGCUAACGCGAUAAGUUGACCGCCUGGGGAGUACGGUCGC
rnacentral:rRNA from 1 species